rnacentral:misc_RNA from 1 species
CUUCCCCGAAUAAAGCCUCAUGUG